rnacentral:rRNA from 1 species
UACGUAGGGGGCUAGCGUUGUCCGGAAUCAUUGGGCGUAAAGAGCGUGUAGGCGGUCCGGUAAGUCCGUUGUGAAAGUCAGGGGCUCAACCCUUGAAUGCCGGCGGAUACUGUCGGGCUAGAGUCCGGAAGAGGCAAGUGGAAUUCCCGGUGUAGCGGUGAAAUGCGCAGAUAUCGGGAGGAACACCAGCGGCGAAGGCGGCAUCCUGGACUGGUCCUGACACUCAGGAGCGAAAGCGUGGGGAGCGAUCCGG